GAUGAACGCUGACAGAAUGCUUAACACAUGCAAGUCUUUGGCGAAGCUGUGCUCGCACAGCCUAGCCAAGGCGGACGGGUGAGUAACGCGUAAGGAACUUGCCCUGCAGUCAGGGAUAACAGACGGAAACGACUGAUAAGACCUGGUAAAGUCAGGCGGACUCAUGUCCAGCCUGAUGAAAAGAGAUGCUGCAGGAGAGCCUUGCGUCCUAUUAGCUUGUUGGUGGGGUAACGGCCCACCAAGGCGAUGAUAGGUAGCCGGCCUGAGAGGGUGGACGGCCACAAGGGGACUGAGAUACGGCCCUUACUCCUACGGGAGGCAGCAGUGGGGAAUAUUGGACAAUGGGGGCAACCCUGAUCCAGCAAUUCUGUGUGCACGAUGAAGGUUUUCGGAUUGUAAAGUGCUUUCAGGAGGGAAGAAAAAAAUGACGGUACCUGCAGAAGAAGCGACGGCUAAAUACGUG
rnacentral:rRNA from 1 species